GAUGAACGCUGGCGGCGUGCCUAAUACAUGCAAGUCGAGCGAACAGACGAGGAGCUUGCUCCUCUGACGUUAGCGGCGGACGGGUGAGUAACACGUGGAUAACCUACCUAUAAGACUGGGAUAACUUCGGGAAACCGGAGCUAAUACCGGAUAAUAUAUUGAACCGCAUGGUUCAAUAUUAAAAGCCGGUUUUGCUGUCACUUAUAGAUGGAUCCGCGCCGCAUUAGCUAGUUGGUAAGGUAACGGAUUACCAAGGCGACGAUGCGUAGCCGACCUGAGAGGGUGAUCGGCCACACUGGAACUGAGACACGGUCCAGACUCCUACGGGAGGCAGCAGUAGGGAAUCUUCCGCAAUGGGCGAAAGCCUGACGGAGCAACGCCGCGUGAGUGAUGAAGGUCUUCGGAUCUUAAAACUCUGUUAUUAGGGAAGAACAAAUGUGUAAGUAACUAUGCACGUCUUGACGGUACCUAAUCAGAAAGCCACGGCUAACUACGUG
rnacentral:rRNA from 1 species